rnacentral:rRNA from 1 species
AUUGAACGCUGGCGGCAUGCUUUACACAUGCAAGUCGGACGGCAGCACAGAGAAGCUUGCUUCUUGGGUGGCGAGUGGCGAACGGGUGAGUAACAUAUCGGAACGUACCGAGUAAUGGGGGAUAACUAAUCGAAAGAUUAGCUAAUACCGCAUAUUCUCUGAGGAGGAAAGCAGGGGACCUUCGGGCCUUGCGUUAUUCGAGCGGCCGAUAUCUGAUUAGCUAGUUGGUGGGGUAAAGGCCUACCAAGGCAACGAUCAGUAGCGGGUCUGAGAGGAUGAUCCGCCACACUGGGACUGAGACACGGCCCAGACUCCUACGGGAGGCAGCAGUGGGGAAUUUUGGACAAUGGGCGCAAGCCUGAUCCGGCCAUGCCGCGUGUCUGAAGAAGGCCUUCGGGUUGUAAAGGACUUUUGUCAGGGAAGAAAAGGUUGUUGCUAAUAUCG